GGGGAUCUAGCUCAGUGGCAGAGUACUUGCCUCGUGUGUAAGAGGUUUUGGGUUCAAUCUCCAGGACCA
rnacentral:tRNA from 1 species